AUCUGUGUGAUGUCCUGUGGUGGAUGUGUGGUGGCAAAUACCUAACAGUGUCUUUAAAGAGACUGGUGGCCUCUGCAUCUCGUCCAAGUCCUUACAACCAGACGUAGAGAUUGUCCCAGGACUGACCAUGUGACCUUUUUAGGAAUAAAGCCAGUGCUCAUGGACAGUGAGGUACAGAUCUCAACACUGUGUGUUUUAGGAUUGGGAAAGAAAACUUGGAAUAAGGCUAAGGUUAAGGUUUGUGAUAUGGGUGGAUUAGUUGGGAUUAUGGUUAGGAAUAAACCAGUUGGUAUGAUUAAAACUAAUGAAUUCCUAAAAAAAUCUUAGCAAAAUAAAACUCUAUUUUUAUAAAAUACUUAAAUUUUCAUUAAAAUGCCAAGUUAUUUCCUUUUCUAUGGUUAAAUUUCAGAUCAUAUAUACUUUCUUGGGAUACUAACUGUUGAUUAAAAUUAAAUACUAUACUAAUAAGAUCCUGAGAAGGUCUUCAAAAAUAAAAGAUUCUCAAAAAUGA